CAGUAGCCGCGGGAAUACGAAGGUCCCGAGCGUUGUUCGGAAUCACUGGGCGUAAAGGGAGCGUAGGCGGCGUGGUAAGUCGGAUGUGAAAUCCCGGGGCUCAACCCCGGAACUGCAUCCGAUACUGCCAUGCUAGAGGAUUGGAGAGGUAGCUGGAAUUCUUGGUGUAGCAGUGAAAUGCGUGGAGAUCAAGAGGAACACUCGUGGCGAAAGCGAGCUACUGGACAAUAACUGACGCUGAGGCUCGAAGGCCAGGGUAGCGAAAGGGAUUAGAUACCCCUGUAGUCCCUGUCUCUUAUAC
rnacentral:rRNA from 1 species